rnacentral:tRNA from 1 species
GCGGAUGCGCAAUGGAGAAGAACGGCUCCCAUGUUACUCUGAGCCGAAAGGUCGGUUCGAUCCCGACCGUCCGCA